CCCAGACUCCUACGGGAGGCAGCAGUAGGGAAUUUUGCGCAAUGGGGGAAACCCUGACGCAGCAACACCGCGUGAAUGUUAAGCCCUUCGGGGUGUAAAGGUCUGUCAAUAGGGACGAAUUUUGACUGUACCUAUAAAGGAAGCACCGGCUAACUCCGUGCCAGCAGCCGCGGUAAUACGGAGGAUGCGAGCGUUAUCCGGAUUUAUUGGGUUUAAAGGGUGCGCAGGCGGAGGUGCAAGUCAGCGGUCAAAUUGCGGGGCUCAACCCCGUACUGCCGUUGAAACUGCAUCCCUUGAGUGGGCGAGAAGUAUGCGGAAUGCGUGGUGUAGCGGUGAAAUGCAUAGAUAUCACGCAGAACUCCGAUUGCGAAGGCAGCAUACCGGCGCCCAACUGACGCUGAAGCACGAAAGCGUGGGUAUCGAACAGGAUUAGAUACCCCAGUA
rnacentral:rRNA from 1 species